UCGGCCCCGGUUCACGUACGAGCAUCCGCGCGUGCGACCCGGCGCC
rfam:Streptomyces niveus NCIMB 11891 chromosome, whole genome shotgun sequence.